CCGAAAGGCAGGAGUGCCCGCAAGGGAGCGCGGAGACAGGUGGUGCAUGGCUGUCGUCAGCUCGUGUCGUGAGAUGUUGGGUUAAGUCCCGCAACGAGCGCAACCCUCACCCCUUGUUGCUACCAGGUAAAGCUGGGCACUCUAGGGGAACUGCCCCGGUCAACGGGGAGGAAGGCGGGGAUGACGUCGAGUCAUCAUGCCCCUUACGUCCUGGGCUACACACGUGCUACAAUGGCCGGUACAAAGGGAUGCCACACCGUGAGGUAGAGCUAAACCCAAAAAGCCGGUCUAAGUUCAGAUUGGAGUCUGCAACUCGACUCCAUGAAGGAGGAAUCGCUAGUAAUCGCGUAUCAGCACGACGCGGUGAAUACGUUCCCGGGCCUUGUACACACCGCCCGUCACACCACGAAAGCCAG
rnacentral:rRNA from 1 species